rnacentral:rRNA from 1 species
UAAUACGUAGGUGGCAAGCGUUGUCCGGAUUUACUGGGUGUAAAGGGCGCGUAGGCGGAGAUGCAAGUCAGGAGUGAAAUCCAUGGGCUUAACCCAUGAACUGCUUUUGAAACUGCAUCCCUUGAGUAUCGGAGAGGCAGGCGGAAUUCCCAGUGUAGCGGUGAAAUGCGUAGAUAUUGGGAGGAACACCAGUGGCGAAGGCGGCCUGCUGGACGACAACUGACGCUGAGGCGCGAAAGCGUGGGGAGCAAACAGG